ACACAUGCAAGUCGAGGGGUAACAGAGGUAGCUUGCUACUUGCUGACGACCGGCGCACGGGUGCGUAACGCGUAUAGAAUCUACCUUAUACUGGGGGAUAGCCUUUGGAAACGAAGAUUAAUACCCCAUAGUAUGUUUGAAUGGCAUCAUUUGGACAUUAAAGUUUCGGCGGUAUAAGAUGACUAUGCGUUCUAUUAGUUUGUUGGUAAGGUAACGGCUUACCAAGACUACGAUAGAUAGGGGUCCUGAGAGGGAGAUCCCCCACACUGGUACUGAGACACGGACCAGACUCCUACGGGAGGCAGCAGUGAGGAAUAUUGGACAAUGGAGGCAACUCUGAUCCAGCCAUGCCGCGUGUAGGAAGACUGCCCUAUGGGUUGUAAACUACUUUUAUAUGGGAAGAAUAAGGUCUACGUGUAGACUGAUGACGGUACCAUAAGAAUAAGCACCGGCUAACUCCGUGCCAGCAGCCGCGGUAAUACGGAGGGUGCAAGCGUUAUCCGGAAUCAUUGGGUUUAAAGGGUCCGUAGGCGGGCAUAUAAGUCAGUGGUGAAAGUCUGUGGCUCAACCAUAGAAUUGCCAUUGAUACUGUAUGUCUUGAAUUAUUGUGAAGUGGUUAGAAUAUGUAGUGUAGCGGUGAAAUGCUUAGAGAUUACAUAGAAUACCGAUUGCGAAGGCAGAUCACUAACAAUAUAUUGACGCUGAUGGACGAAAGCGUAGGUAGCGAACAGGAUUAGAUACCCUGGUAGUCUACGCCGUAAACGAUGGAUACUAGUUGUUUGGUUUUCGGACUGAGUGACUAAGCGAAAGUGAUAAGU
rnacentral:rRNA from 1 species